ensembl:lncRNA
UCUCUCAGGAGAAUCCUAUGUUCUCUAGGCAUGCCCAACACAUCUUACCCCUCCCUUUACCCACAGAUGCUUCCACACUCCAAUCAUGGGCACCUCACCAUUACCCAUGAAUGCCCUACCCCACUGUUACCCACUGACACUCCCAGCCCCACAGCUAUAGAACCCACUAUCACCCACAGACACUCCACUUCUCUCAAUCACAAAUACCUCACAUCUCCCAAUGGAUACCUCACCCUGCCAUCGUCCACUGGCACCCCAAUCCACGCCACCAGGGGUACCCCUGUUCUGUUACCCCACAAAUUUCAUACUUAGCACAAUGACUUUUUAAAGAAGCGCAGUCAGACUUCGGUCAUGCCCUCCACAUAUCUUCCCUGAGCUCCUGAGAUGUGACACACUAGGGUGAGCCUGAGGAUCAAAGAGACAACCCACAUUUCCUCUCUGCACACAAAGAACCCUACUGACUGGGAAAUAGAGUAGUAGAGAAAUGAAACACCACCCAGGGCAGUUCGCAACAUCAUGGAGCACACAGCACACAUCAUGAGGCUGGGGUGUGUGUUGGGGAACAAAAAGCUUCACAAGAGAUGAUCAUAUCUGGGCUGGGAAGGAGUGCUGAGUUUGCCAGAAGGUGAGUGAACAUGAAAUAGCACAGACAAAGGCAAAAAAGACCUGAGGCAUGAAAGAGUGUGGCCUCUUUGAAGGCUGGUGCUAGAAUGCCUGGAGUCCUAGGAUAAGUGGUGGGAGGAGAGUUCUGGGAAGAAUCUGCAUAUGAGGCCAUGGUGUGGAGUCUGAACAAACACUGAGAGCCAGCUGUGGCUUUGAAGUAACGGCCUGAUGGGAUUUGACUCAGAGACUCUGGUUGGCAUCAUACAGACUGCACCACAGCAGGCAGAGGCUAGGGUGUGGGGGGAAGGCCAUACAAGAAGGUUAUCCAUAACAACCUCCCAUAAGAGAUGAUGCCUGAACAAGGGUAGACACCCUGGCCAAGGAGCGAUCAGAAAAGAUGUGAUAACUUCAAUCAAAUUUGGUGAUCCUCUAUGUGUGAGUGUGCACGCACAUGUUUGAGCUGAGACAAGGUGGACACCAAGGGAAAAAUCAAGAGGCUAAGCAAGGAGAAUUGACGGACUGACAACAUCACAAUUGGAGACAAGGCACAUAUAGGAUACAUAUUAAGUUUGAGAUACUUGUGGGCCAUCCAGGUCACAGGAGUUGAUAUCAUCUGGAAAGGUGGCACAGGGCAAGAUGUUAGAGUUGGUUCACAAGGUUAAUAAUUUGUACUAAGAAGAAAAGAAAUGUGGUAGAGGGGAUGCUAGAAAGUGGUAAUCUGUAGGUGAGGCAAAGGUGUCUAGUACAAAGCCAAAGACAGCUACAUGUGUAAUAAAGAAAAAGUGAAGAAGGUAACACAGGCAGAAAAAAUUGUGCAUUAUCUUGACAUCACUGCCAUCCCCUUUAUGUGCAGGUUCAGACUCCUACUGAGUGCCUUACACCCACCCCUAUCCUGUCACUGCCACAAGAUAAUUGAGUGAGGUUAGAAGGCACCUACUAUCUAAGUAUUUUGGGAUGACUGACAGAGCCAUUUGGGAUGUCUCAGGUAUCAGUAAAGGUGAGGCUAUGGGAAACACCGUCUUUGCGUGGGGCAACUUGUGAAGAGCCACACCGGGUGCACCUUUGGCCACACUAGGCUGACAAGAGGGAAGAUGAUACCAUAUUCUCUUAAGGGGCUGGCCCCGUGGCUGAGUGGUUAAGUUCACGCACUCCGCUGCAGGCGGCCCAGUGUUUCGUUGGUUCGAAUCCUGGGCGCGGACAUGGCACUGCUCAUCAGACCACGCUGAGGCAGCGUCCCACAUGCCACAACUAGAAGGACCCACAACGAAAUAUACAACUAUGUACUGGGGGGCUUUGGGGAGAAAAAGGAGAAAAAUAAAAUCUUUAAAAAAAAAAAAAAAAAAAGGCCUUGAUCUCUCCAGUACUCUAGUUGCCCCAGAGAGGCCCCAAGUACAUGGACUGGGGGGUUAAAACUAGUAAGAAGAAUGAAUAGGACAAAACUAUUUCUUUUAUUAAUUCACCCUCCUGUCUGUUCAUGUGGCAAAUAUUUAUUGAACACCUAUUACACACCUGGCCCUGGGGACAGCAACAUUCAUAGGCUGAGUGGAAGAGAAAUCCUGAAAGAAGACUUCCUCUCAGAUAUCAGAUAUCACAGAAGGCACAGAAAUAGUUUCAGAAGUAGAAGGUGGUUAGCAUCACUUACUUCGGGGAUCCAGUAGGAUAAGGACUGAAGGCAGGCUAAGAAGGAGGUCACUGAUACCCUUAAUAGAAACAUUUUUAGGUAGUAGAAGCCAAAGUAUAAUGGAUAGAAAAAUGAAUGACAGUCGAAAUGCAGACCAUUCCCUUGAGAAGUGUGUCCAGUAAGGGGACAAGGGGAGAUGACAAAAGCUGUUUUGUAACUUCUCUAAGUGGAGCUGAGAGAAGCUUGUGCAGUGCUGGCUCCAACUGAACAUCCCCCAAAGAGAAGGGCCAAGCGAUGAAGCAAAGUGCUGAAGAAGAGGUGAAGUACUAGAAGCCUGAGACCAGGUAGCAGAAUCAGCCUGGAGAGGCAGAACUGCUCCUUUCUCUGAAACGAUGGGAAGGACAGUGCUCUUAUAUAUAAGUCUCUGCACAGAGAGGAGAGCAGAAGCCUAUUUGUCAGCCUCAGUGUUUUCUGUGAACUGAGUAGCAGAGUCAUCCUGUACAGUACCUGGUAGACAGCAAGCGCUCAAUAAUCAUUUUUUAAAGGAAUGAAUCCUGGGGCUGCAGCAUAACCCACAAGGAGCCUAGAGUCUGGUCCCUGAUAGGAUCACUACUCUAAGCUACUGCCUUCCUCCCCUCCACCUCUUAUCAAUCUGUCCUUGCCUUAGAUGGAAACGUGAGUUACCAGUACACAGAUGUUUGCAUAAAGUCAGGCACACAUGCAUACACACAUAUAUCCACCCUGUAUAUCACAGAGAAGAAACAGGGAAAAAAGGGCCCUUAUGGGCUCACCUAGAGACUCCAAGAAUUAAAUAUUGCAGUCUGUUAUCAGUGAAACAGAGGCACAGUACCUUGAUGAAGCAAAGAUAGACGCAUUGAGGCCCCCAAAGCAGGACAGAGCGACGGCAAUGGGAAUGGUCCAGCUGAACAUGCCAAAUGUCCGGUCAGCAAAUGUCUGGAGGCAGAGCACAGAAGGGGCACUUAGCACAGGACAGGGUUUCAUAAGCCUCCUGCAUCUAUGGUUCUGGGACAAACACAGUCGCAUCUGAGCAGCCCACCCUCUGGCCUAGAUCCAUCAACUGGCCCUGCAGAGCUGGAGCAGCUGCAGAAAGAGAUCGAGACAUUCAGUAUCAUAAGAUGACGAGCAAAUGGAGAUCCCAAGAGACUCACCACAGCCACAGCAUCACUGCCAAGGACAUCUGAAAUGCUCAGCACUGUGUAAUAGGCCACGUUGGUCAGGAUGUAGAUGAGCGUCACAAUUGGCAUAGAAAUCCCAAUGGCCAGGGGCAAAUUUCUGUCAGGAUAAGUGAGAUAGUACUACUAGAACCAACCUCCCCUUGGGGUCAAAGUCCACCGAGGGAUUUUUCUAACAUUUAACAGUUCCCCAGCCUCUCUGGGUCUUUGACGCAGGCUCCUCUUCCCCAUGUGACCUAGGGUAAGUAUGUAUCCCAUGCCCCUGGGCUCUUUCUACUGAGAAACAGAGAGAGAGAGAGAGAGAGAGAUCCUUCUCUGUGAAGAUAGCUGAUCAAUAUUUGAUCUUCCCCACAGUUGAACCAAUGAAGAAGGGUCCCAGUGAAGAAGGAGCAGUGUCCUCUAGGGACUGGAGGCGAGGCUGGGGACCUGGCUGCCCAGAAUAAGUUUCUGGUUCCCCAGGCUUCAAUGUCAGCUCCAGAAUACAAGGGUCAGCUGUUGCCCACUGAAGGACCUCUCCUCAAGGAAGGACCUUGGGGAUCCUCCAGUGUGAACAUGAGGGUAAGGAGCCAGGGGCUUUACAACCUUCACUCAUUCCCAUCCUAGCCCCUAAUCCCUCCGAGCUGGAGAAAGGGGAGUAGGGAGAAGAAGGGGUAAGAGAUGUAGGGAAGAGGGGAGGGGAGAGGGCAAGUGUGCCCACUAUCAUCAGGAGUUCCAGCCAAGUUGGGGAGUGAGAGUGUGAUCCCGCCUUUACCUUUCUGGGUUUUUGAUUUCUUCUGUUACAAAAUUAAGGGUGUCCCAACCUGAGUAAGAGAAGAGGGCAGAGUAGAGGGCGAGAGAGAGGUCUCCCAUGUCCCAGGAGGAACCCUGAAAGGCGUCCUGAAAGUGCUCAGAGUGUCCUGUGGGGGCAGAGGCAGGUGGGGGGUUCAGGGAAAAGGAAGAGGAAGAGGGAGGAGAGGAGAGAGGGAAGGUAUCAGGAGAUGAGGAAGGAUGGGGAGGGGCAGUAAGAAAGAGGAAGGAAAGAUGGGGAAAAAGGAGAAAGGACGAGGGUCAAGAAAAGAAGGGAAAAGCAAGAGGGUGGGGGGAAAAAAACAUAAUUUAACACCAAAAGAACAACCACCACCAGCUCCCUGCACUUGAUCACCCAACCCACUCCCUCAGGGAAGUUCAUAUUCCUUUAGUAAAACUAGAGAAUCUCAAAAAAACAAAGGCAUUUCUGGCUGCCCUCUGAAGUGAUAACACCUUUUCCAAAGCCCUAAUGAAUUUCCAUUUCCUGCAAGUGACCUCACAGCAGGCCACAGAUCUUCCUAUUUUUAGAAAGAACCCUGUUUCACAUUAAGGAGUCAUUUUUCGUAAACAAUUAGACCUUCCUGUGGAACUACUUCUCUUGGCUCAGACCACGGCACAACUUGGUCAGAUGGGUUUCUCAGUCUCAUGGAAAGAACUGUUGCUCUACUUACAAUAGCUGUGAUUGCAUGAGGCAGGAAAUGCCUCACUUCACAGAGGCAAUGUAGGAACUGGGGUCUUAUCUCUCACUGGGCCUUGGUAGACCUGGGCCACCUCCACCCUUGGAGAGCCAGCCUAAGCACCUGUCUUUCUCCUUGGAGGCCUCCAGAGACCAGAGACUGCAGACUUAAAAACUGAGAGAGCAGCACCCAGCUGCCCAGGAGAGAGACUUUCUGGACACACUGGGGGUUUUUAACAAGACCCAAACAUCUAAGGAAGCCUGCUGUUACCCUCUGUAGAAAGCCUAGACCCAUUCCUCAAUGUGGCAAAAAGGGCUGGCUGGGCAGCAAGAGAAGGGUAAAUAGAGACUCUCAUGCCCCAGGGGUAUCAGUCAUCACACACAGCAGUGGUUACCUAAGGCACAGAUCUUGGGUGGAGGAUUACUCAACUACCCAAUUUGACCCCAGCUGUUUCUGAGAUUCCAGGGACAUUCAGAUGGCAGGCUGUACUAACUUGGUGCAUGUGCACAAAGGUGCUAGACCAACUGCCUAAGCACCACUCAAGGCACUUCUUAAAAAUAUCUUUUUCAACUACAAAACAAUGAGAGUUUGAUCCAACAGGUCUGAGAUGGGGGGUCUCAGCUACCCAGGUGAUUGUAAACACAGCAAAGUCUAGAGACAGAUGAUCUAGAGAAGUGGGUUGUUCAACGAUUGAGAUAUCCUUGGCCAAGGACAUCACAGGACUUCUCUUAGAGCUCAGGAGGUCUUGGGAGGCCUGUUAUGUUCACUGCCAGUCUGUUCUGAUCCAGGAAUAAAAGGCUUUCUAAAGCCAACAUGCAGGAAAAUCAGCGCCAACUUCACAAUAUUUUAAUAUUUUGCUGAGAGUUGACUUCGGGAGGGAAUGCUGAAGAAGAGCAAGUCCAGAUGAAAAGUAAAGCCUACAAAAUAACCAUUCAGUUCCACAUCCCAUCUCCCCUACACACACCUUCCCACUCAAGAAGGGCCAAGUCUUCCUACUCACUGCCUGGCAAUCACAGACCAAAAACAGGAGCCAGAGCAGGGCUCACUCUAUCCCCACUGAUUACUUUUAUGACCCAAUUUACAACCCAUGUUCCAAGAGCUCCUAGGCCCUCAGCUGGCUUCUCGCAGUGCUCCUAGCCUCCCAAAAGGGAAAGCAGCCCUGAGGGAGGAGCUGAGUCAAGUCCAUUUGGCCAAGCCAGCCUGACCCAAGAAGCCCAGGGACAGAUCUCUCGCUCUCACUGACACAGUCUACCAUGUACACAGAAAGAGCUGAGCAGUAAAGCUAACAGAGUCCCCAUGUCCUCCUCAGCGAAUCCACGGUAACUCCAGGAGUCAUCCACCCACCUUCCCACCUUGGGCCCUUCUUACCCUGGCACAGUUUAACAAGGCCCAUGACAAUGAUGGCAAUGAGCGCUAGGACCUUGGCGUAAGUGAACGUGUCCUGCACACGUGUGCCCCACUUGACAUAGGCACAGUUCACAAAUGUCAGCAAACCUAGGAGGAAAACCAUAAAGUCACUGGCAGGCUUGAGCUGAAGGCACAAAGGCCCAACCUCUCUUUACAGAGUGCAUCACUACCCUGUCUGCCUAAGGCAAAGGGGCCAAUGGACCAGUCAGAACCAGGAGAAGAGGGAAAUGGGGGAACAUCAUCCAUCUGCCCCAGCUCAAAGCUUCCGUGAAUAUCCCAUCACUGUUGACAAGCAAAGAUACAAAGGCACACAUUAACACAUUUUCAUACAUUCUGACAGCAGGAACCAUUUUUAGAAAUCCUUCCCAGGCUCAGGAAUGGUGGACAGCACCCACUCUCUCCCACUCAGACUCCCAAGGUUCCAAACCACCUGCAGCAUAAGACCUCUCCAUGGGGGCCGGCCUGGUGGCGCGGCUGUUAAGUUUGCGCGUUCCGCAUCUCCACAGCCCAGGGUUCACUGGUUCGGAUCCCGAGUGCGGACAUGGCACCGCUUGGCAAAGCCAUGCUGUGGUAGGUGUCUCACAUAUAAAGUAGAGGAAGAUGGGCAUGGAUGUUAGCUCAGGGCUGGUCUUCCUCAGCAAAAAGAGGAGGAUUGUCAGUAGUUAGCUCAGGGCUAAUCUCUCUCAAAAAAAACCAACAAAAAAACAAAUAAGACCUCUCCAUGGCCACAUUAGAGAGUGGGGACAAGAGAGGCCCAUCAAUAAAUGAGGUGAAUUUGAAUACAGGUGGAAGGUCACCCAGGAAUUAGAGAAACAAUAUUUUGCAUGCAAGUGUAAAAAAGGAAAAAGCCUGUCAUGUGCUUGACAGUUUCACAUACAUCCUCUCAAUUAAUUCUCACAACUCCAAAACAUAGACAUUCCUCUUCCCAUUUUAUAGAUGAAGAGAUAUUGGCUUUACUAUAUCAAUAACAUGAUUUCUAUUUAAUAUAAACUCAUGAAACUUGCAACAAACUGAGGCUGAGAGAGGCUAACUACCAUUCCCGAGCUCACACAGACCCCAAUGAUCUCCCUCAUCCCCAUUCCUAUCCAAACCUCCCAAUACUCAGUGAGGUCCAUGGAGAAGUGAGCUCCUUUAGACAUUCCCUAGGCUCGUAUCACUACUGCUGGCUUUAUGUUCCAGCUCCUCAUGUACCUUAGUGAUAUCUGGGCCCUGUGUUGAGGGUCCUAGCACCUUACCCCUGCUAAAUAAGGACUGCUCUGAUCCAUGGGGAGGACAUGAGAACAGUAUCCAAGGGGCUCCACAGUGACACCUCUAAGUACUUCCCUGAGCCUCCAAAAAUAGAACUUUUAUGUGAACCUCAUAUGUUAUUACAAAAUCUAUUGGGCCAUCUCUACCUACCCCUACCCAUCUUGCACUCUUUCCUUCAGCCAAACUCUCUCCUUACUGGUGCCAGAUAUAGGCAUAGAAGAAAUGUUCUCCCCUCCUCCUCCUGUCAAGGCCAACAGCAACUCCCACUUUUAAGGUCUAGCUCAGCCCCCACUUCCUCUGUAAAACCUUCCCCAAACAUACGAGCCACGCCCUCACUAAGCUCUCCCUCCCCGAACCUUAUGGCAUUCCCACUUCACAGCACAGCUUAGUGUCUCAUUCUAUGGUCAUGUAGACAUCUGUCUCAAGAAGGUCUCUCCCUCAGGCAUUCGGGUGGUGCUCGAGAUCACAAAUUCUUAGGGGGAAACAAAAGCAUAUUGUUUUCUUUUUUUUUUCCUUCUCCCCAAAGCCCCCCAGUACAGAGUUGCACAUUUUAGUUGUAGGUCCUUCUAGUUGUGGCAUGUGGGACGCCACCUCAGCGUGGCCUAACAAGCGGUGCCAUGUCUGCACCCAGGAUCCCAACCAGUGAAAUCCUAGGCCACCGAAGCGGAGCGCGCAAAGUUAACCAUUCGGCCACGGGGCUGGCCCCAUCGUAGUGUUUUCUUAAGCUUACUGCCAAGCAAAGAGGGGAACUAACGAACUCUGGUUGGAAUCAAGGUGGUGAUGACUUUCACUUAACCUCCAAUUCCCUGGAGCAAGGCAAAUGUCAGGAAGUUGGACAUUCCUCCACUCAAAUGGAGAGGAGAGCCUAGAGCCAGCAUGUGGAAAUAAACACAGGCGGUUGAACAGCCUUCAUGGCACUUCAAGAGCUUUCACACAAUAUGCUGGCAGAUAACACAGGUGACUACUAGUCAGUCAUAUGAGGUGGAGGGUGGAGGAAUGGGGGGUAUUAGUCAAGGAGGAGGGGAGUAGGCCAAAUGAAUGCAUGCUGCUGGCAGGUCUUCCCAGGGAUCUGCCCUGCUAUUCAAAGUUUGCUGUGCAGGACUAAGCCUAGAUCAGCUAACAUAAGGAUUACCUAGUUAAUAGCCACCAGUAAUCUGCAGACCCCUGUUCAAUACAGUAAGCAUAUUUUGAGGUACCUGCCAAGCCCCUUCUUGGGAAUUGUUCUCCUUGCCCUAUCAUGGCUGAUUUGAACCAGACAAUGGACCCAAGCUGAGCCUAUUCGAUUUUGUCUCUUCCAGGAACAAGAAGUCAGGAUACUAAGAGACUGAAUCUAUUUAACAGCAGCAGAGUCAGGGGCCAUAGCAAGUCAAAGUCACAUAUAAGCCUUGUAACUACAGACUAACAAAAACCACAAGAAAGCAGAGGAAGGAAGCAGGACUACAAAAAGAAGUGUGAGGGCACACAGCUUGUGAGAAAAAGGCUGAUGGAGAAAGAUGCAGAAAUACACAGAGACAAGAGACAAAGAUAAGAAGACAGAGAAGGGGAGAAAGAGAAAGAGAAAAAAAGAUAGACAUACACGUGGCGAAAGAGACUGUCUCACAAUGUCCUGGCUGUGCUUGAUGAAUAUUAUUUUAGACUGGUUACUUUUAAAAACUGUGGACAAGAAGGAGGCUCUGAGGAGUGGAAUUUGCUUGCCCUUUGAUGAGAGACAUUUGCAUUUGUGAAGGAAGUCUCCAUCUGUGGGGGAUGUCUCCCUCUCUGCACCAGGAGGAAGUGGGGAUGACCUUAUCUCUAGAAACUCUUAAUGGGGAAGGCAAGGACUUAAGUUGUUUACUGUCUGGUAACCUCAUGUAACUGACCCUCCCCCCCCAACAUCCUCCUUUGUCUUUAGCUGAAGAUAAUAUUUAAGCGGUGGCUUCUGCCAUUUACUUUGACAAAUAAAAAUGGCAAGUAAUAGGAUAUAUUGGAGUAUAUGAGGAAGCCAUUUGGUGUAAACCUAAUUCGGCCUGACCUUGUUCUUCCAAAAGGGCCUGACAGUGACCCUUGAGCCGUUGAGCAUGCAUUCUAUAUCUGCCUUAGAUAUUCCCUAUGGCAAGAACAAAGGCCCUUGAGAUAAAGGUGCAACUUCCCUUCCCCUCCCAACGUUGGCAUUUCCUUAAGGAUUAAGCAUCUUUCCUUAGGCUAGGAACUGAUUGCUGUGCUCACCUGUGACCACCCAGCUUGAGACAAUAGACUUGCCUCCUGCUACUCCCGCCAAGACAGCAGACCCACUACCUGCUGUGUCCAUCAAGGGCUGUGCUGACAGGGCAAUCUUGUGACUAUUGUGGGAGGGACAUUUCAAUCAUAUGUGAAACAUCCUGUUUGGAGACAUAUAACCACUCUGUAUACCUCACUUAUUUGGUACCCUUUCUUCCUUCGGGAAGAAAGGCCCCGGGGCCAUGGUCUUCAGAUUUUAGCUCAGAAUAAACUCAUCCCAAAUUUUCAUUUAUAGGUUGGUUAUGGAUUAUUUUCAGUCUGACAACUUAAUCUGGUUUGAUUCUUAUCUAAAAGUUACAGGACCCAAUAACCAGACCCCACCAGCACUGAUACCAUUUUAACAACUCUUUUUACAUAUUCUUUCCUUUGUCUUGUAAAGAGAUAACUCACAUACUUAUGCCUUAAAUUUAGCCCCACCCUCAACUCAUGUUUGCAGCAGCUCUUUACCGCCCAUGGGUCCUGUCCCCAUGCUAUUCCACACUAUUCUCUAAAUAAGAGCACUACUGCCAGACCUUGAGAGUCCAAGAAAUCUUUCUUUCGACUCCUCGGCUCACCGACCCCGCAUCAUGCUCACUGUGCUUCUGGUUUGUGGCACCAAGAUGUGACUGUAAGAUGGGGAAGAGAAAUGAUACACUCCUCAGCCCUACAGAGAAGCACCCCCUCUCACUUCUGCUCCUUCUUCACUCCAUUCUGCUACAAAUUACUCCCAUGGCUUGUUCCUCUCUGCACACUAGUGAAUAUUGCACACAGUGGGAAUUCAACAACUACUGGUGCUGAACAGAUGAAUGAAGGCAGCACCUCAUGGAGGUCUCUGCAAAGCCCCUUUUGAAAGACCAGCUGGAAGGAUACAAAAGAAUCUGGUCACAGUGGCUGCCUCUGGGGAGGAAGACUAAAGCUCUGGAGAGGCAAGGAGACUUUUUCCAUUGUAUUCCCUUUUAUACUUUGACUUAUUUACCAUGCACAUAUGCUUCUUUCUCAAUAAAAAUAAAAACAGCUAAUUAACAACAAUGUGCAGACAGGGAGCAGGGCCAGGAGUAGGGUGAGGGGAGCAAGGCCCCCAGGGUGCGAAAUUUAAUGAGGUAUUGACUCACAGAUGACCACUUAGCAAUCUGAGAGUGAGUGCAUCCUUAAAUGCUGGCCCAGGUGCCUUGCUUGCUUCACCCUACUCUCAGUGCCGCCAGAGAAGAGAGAGCUCCAAGAGCAGUCUACCAUGCAGAAGCCAAGUCCCCUGAAUGUUUUCCUGGUUCUAAUCAAGAAACAAAAUUUCACCAUCUGAUCCCCAGCCCUCCCAGAUCUCCCAUCCCUGUCUAGUAUCACAGACUCUGUUAGAGCUCAAACAUAAGACAACAAGGCCUGAGGCCAGGUGCUCAGAUUCAACUACCACAAUUAAAACAUCCAAGUCUUGCCUCUUCUCCUGAUCUCACUUCCUCGCUGCAAAGCCUGCACCAAGGAGUGUGAGACCCAUGUGAGGGUCUUCAAGGCUCUCUGGGGGCUUGUUACUGAGAAAGGAGUACUCAAAUAGCAGAUUCAGACCCAAUCCCAAAGCUGAAACAAAUCUCCAAAGUCUCUCUGUGGCAAAGACUGCUAGUUAUCUUCCAAUAUCUGUUCUUCCCUUUUUCCAUAGUAAUAGAAACUUUAGCUGGAGUCAUGGCUGCCCAAAAUAAAGAUGACAUUUCCCAGCUUCUCUUACAGGCAGGUAUGGCCAUGAAACUAGGUUCUUGCUCCAAGAAUGUAAGCAAAUUUUUAUAUAAAUAAAACCUCAGGACAUAUCUUUGAAGGGUAGGGCAUACCUUUCUUUGUCCUUCCUGUCAGCUACAAUGUAGACAGGACAGCAGAGCUUAAGUAGCCAUCCUGGGUGACCGGCUAGAAGUUACACCAUGCUGAGGACGGCAGCGCAGUAAGACAGAAGGAAGGAACCUGGCUCCCUAAAGAAUUACGAACUCAUCCUACAAGCUCCACACUGCCUACUUUUAACAUGUGAGAGAAGUAAUUUUCAGUAUGUUUGAGCCAUCCUGCUUUUGGUUUUCAGUUGUUUGAAACUCAAACUAAUCCUGAAUAACACAUGCGUCCUCAGACAGAACUACGCCUCUCAUACUCUCUUUCUGAUGAGGAGAUGGCCUGGCAAUCUGAAGCUGUAGUCCCAGGUAUGCUGACAGUCACAAAUCCCUUUUCCUACAAGCAACAGGGAGGGGAAAGAACCCUUCCAAUUCCUCCCACAAACAGGCUGCAUAUACUAAGGGGCAUUCAAGGGCAGAGGAGUGCAAACCUUAACAAUAAGAUGGAAAAAGAGAAAAAAGGGGGGUGGGGAAACAUCUACAAGUCUAUUAGGAGAGAAAUGUUCUACGAUGGUCCAAGAGAGGUAAACUCUUCCAAACGGCGAUCCUGGAAUCAAGAGCUACUUCUUUGGAUGUAUAUGAAUAUGUAAUGUACACGCCUUUUUAAAGAGCCUCCGUGUUUUUAAUUACACAAAUAUACAUAUUCUUAUUAUCAAAAAGCAUUCAAACUAUAUAUAGGGUUAGAGUCCAGGUCUUUGAACAGCUAUGGUCAAGACCCAGUCUUCCUUAGGCGCGUCACUGUCAGAACAUGAAAGCUGGGGCCGGCCCUGUGGCCGAGUGGUUAAGUUUGUGUGCUCUGCUUCGGUGGCCCAGGGUUUCGCUGGUUCGGAUCCUGGGCAUGGACAUGGCACAGCUCAUCAGGCCACGCUGAGGUGGCGUCUCACAUGCCACAACAAGAAGGACCCACAACUACAAUAUACAACUAUGUACUGGGGCUUUGGGAAGAAGAAAAGGGAAAAAAAAAGAAGAAGAUUGGCAACAGCUGUCAGCUCAGGUGCCAAUCUUAAAAAAAAUGGAACAUGAAAGCUGUCUAUCCACAGCAACAACUGAAAAUAGGAGAGCAUACCCUUCCUACUCAGAACCCUGCCCAGGUCUGAGUCCAAGACAGCACAAGACAACAGAAAGCUAUUCAGGCUUUAUACAGUGUUUCUUCACUCCAGUCUCACCCUCAGCAGUCCCCCUCUCGUUCUUCCUCCCUCUCUCCCUCCACCCCGACCUCCUCCUCCUCCUCACUGUCAGCCUUACCAAACAAACUCUCAGAGGAAAUGGAGACUCAGCUUUGAUGCCACUGUGUCAAUGCUGAACUGACUUCUAUGUUGAAACCUUCAGAGCAAAUAUUCUCCAAUGAUGUGUGUGAGGCUACACAACAGGCAGGAUCCCACAAAGAUAAAUGGACUGACAACACCUAAGCCAGGAACAUCACCCUUCUACAGUCAGAUCAAGUACUCUUACAACGCCAGGCACCUGGGUUACCAAGAACACUGCUGGUCACCUGCCAGAAGAGGAGACCUAUGCACCUGAGGAACUGCCAUUUUCCCCCACAGUCCCAUAAGUGGAUAAGAGCCCCUAGGGAUAAAGAGUUUAGUCUGCAGCCUGAGGCCCAAUCUACCACAGAAGAUUCCAAGGUCCCAGAACACAUAUGAGCAGAACGCACCUUUAGGAUCGAGUUUCUCAACUCAGCACUAUUGACAUUUUGGACCAGAUAAGUCUUUGUUGUGUGGGGUUAUCCUGUGCAUUAUAGGAUGUUCAACAGCACCCCUGGCCUCCACCCACUAGUACCCCACAGACUCCCUUCCUAGCAGCUAUGACAACCAAAAAUGUCUCCAGACCUUGCCAGAUACUUCCUGGGGAGCAAACUCACCUGCGGUUGAGAACCACUGCUCUAGGAUAAUAAGUAAUAAGACAGCCUGAAAUCCAAAGAAAGUUGCUUGGAUCUCCCUGCCAGUGUAACCUGAGACUGGGGUGGGGGGGCUGCUGGAAAGCCAGGAUCUGAAACAGCAAUGUCUUCAAGGGCCAUGAAGGUAACACAAAUGAGCAAAGUCAAGAAUGUCUGGGUAUGAAACAAGAGGAAGUGGAGGACCCUAGUGGACCGGAGAGUAUAUGUCCAUUUAAAGGGAACAACCACUACUCAAACGCAGCUGACUGCGUCAGGCAGGAAUUGGGGUCCAAGGUUGUCAGAACUUUUGAUUUUUCAAGAGAAAGGGCAAGUCCUGAUUUUCAAAUGUUGGCAAGUAAUUCAAAAUUGUUUAGAACAUUGUGCAGGGAGAUCCAAGCCCACCUCUGACAAGUUUCUGCCCUCAAACCUGCAUUAUGGAAACGGCUGGGCUUCUGGGACAAGAGGCUUACCAGAAUUCAGAUCCUGCAACUUGGGUAAAAGUACAUUUGAAUGAAAGAAGCUACAGAUACCAUGACUUUGUAUUUCUAAGAGGUGAGGUCUCUCCUCUAAUCAAAAGAGCAGUUCUUGGUAUGGGGAUGGGCUCCCUAAACACAAAAACAACAGGGAAAAUCAUAAAGGAAAAAAGAUUUAGGGGGAGGCCCCAUGACCAAGUGGUUGGAUUCACAUGCUCCACUCCAGCAGCCUGGGGUUUUGCCGGUUUGGAUUCUGGGCGCAGACCUAGCACUGCUCAUCAGGCCAUGCUAAGGCAGCAUCCCACGUAGCAGAGCCAGAAGGACCUACAACCAGAAUAGACAACUAUGGGGGCUGCCCUGGUGGCACAGCGGUUAACGGUGCAUGUUCUGCUUCGGCGGCCUGGGGUUCAAUAGUUUGGAUCCCAGGUGCAGACAUGGCACUGCUUGGCAAGACAUGCUAUGGUAGGCGUCCCACAUAGAAAGUAGAGGAAGAUGGGCACGGAUGUUAGCUCAGGGCCAGUCUUGCUCAGCAAAAAGAGGAGGAUUGGCAGCAGACGUUAGCUCAGGGCUAAUCUUCCUCAAAAAAUGAAUAUACAACUAUGUACUGGAGGGCUUUGGGGAGAAGAAGAAGAAAAAAAAAAGAAGAUUGGCAAUAGACGUUAGCUCAGGUGCCAAUCUAAAAAAAAAAGACUUACCAAAUAAAAAUCUUCUGUACAUGAAAAAUCAUAUACUGAGGUGCUCUUUGAUACAAUUAUUCUCGGAAUUCAUCCUAAGGCCAUUAUGAGACCAAUGCACAGGCACCCUCAGGUGCUCAGAUAAGAGAACAAAUUUACAACCCUUCUAGAAAGGAAUUGGGUAACACAUAAAGAUCCUUAAAAAAGUUUAUUUCUUGGGGCCGACUCUGUGGCCAAGUGGUUAAGCUCACACGUUCCACUUGGGUGGCCCAGGGGUUCAACGGUUCACUGGGUAUGGACCUAGCACCACUCAUCAAGGCAUGCUGAGGUGGCCACCUACACAGAAGAAGGUACAUCUAGGAUAUACAACUGUGUACUGGGGGGCUUUGGGGAGAAAAAAAAAAAAGAGGAAGAUUGGCAACAGAUGUUAGCUCAGGACCAGUCUUCCUCACCAAAAAGGUGCUUAAAAAAAAAAGAAAAAGUUUAUUUCUUUAGACAGAGGGAUUCUCUUGUAUAAUUCUAUCCUAAGAAAAUAUGCAGAAACUCUGAAAAUGAUUUAUAUACAAAGACCCCCACAGCAUCAUCCUUUAUCAUAAUAUUAUAGAGCACUUACUAUAUGCCAAGCAGAGAGAAGUACUAGACAUAUAUUGAUUCAUUUACUCUUCACAAACAUCUUUUCAGAUAGGUACAAUCAAUAUUCUCAUUUUACAAAUGAGAAAAUCAAACUAACCGUUAACUAAUUCCUCCAAGGUCAACAGCUGGAAAAACAGUUGGUAAAGCAAGAAUCAAAUCUAGUCUGGCAUGGGAGGCUGUGAUCUUAACCACUAUGCUAUACUGCCUGGAAACUACAUAUGUGUCCACAAACCAUGUUUUCUAAAAAUAUUUGAUGAGGGGCCGGCCCAGUGGCACAGCAGUUAACUGCGCAUGUUCCACUUCGGCGGCCCAGGGUUCGCCAGUUUGGAUCCUGGGUGUGGACAUGGCACUGCUUGGCAAGCCACGCCGUGGUAGGAGUCACACAUAGAAAGUAGAGGAAGAUGGGCACGGAUGUUAGCUCAGGGCCAGUCUUCCUCAGCAAAAAAGAGAAGGAUUGGUGGCAGAUGUUAGCUCAGGGCUAAUCUUCCUCAAAAAAAAAAAAAAGCAGAAUAUAAAGUUACAUGCAAAGUAUGAUGCCAGUUCUAUAAAAGAAAAAUGAAGACAUGAUAGAACUAUUAAAAAUGCUCAUGUCUUGGUGGUAGAUUAUGGGUGAUUUAAGGCUAAGUUAAUUUUCUCCUUAACGAACAUGUUUUAUAAUCAGAAAAUUAUUCCCUUUUCUAGAAAGCUCAAUCAGGCCAGAGUUCCCCUGGCCAAACUCUAUCAGAUAUCCAGUUGAGUACCUAUCUUCUCUCCUCCCAGGGGUAUCUGUGGAGGGGUUCCCUUUAACAUUUGUCUUUAGCAAAUUCCUUAAAGUCAGGAGGCACAGUGCACUGUGCAGUCCUUUAGUGCUGACUCCAAGGUACUCUCAGUCUCUUUUUAACACUGUGGAUAAACUACAUCCACUGCCAAAGCUUUUGUAAGCAGAGAUAUGGAAAGAACAGAGUAUAAUUAAGUGCCUCUGGCAGCACAGUGCUAAGGAACACAGGGAAUUCUGGGCCACUUCUCAGAUAAAACACCAGCUCUACAAGACUGUGUAAAUUCACAGCAGUCUUCUCUCCCUUUCAUUGAUUUCACAUAAAUCCCUCCUUACCACCUCAUAAGAGAAAAAGGAAAACAAAGAAGGAUCCACUGGGAUCUCUCAGGCUCUGUCCGCAGAAAUCCAAAUAUGGGGUAGAAGCCACCUUCCCUUCCCUGGCCGCAGGCAGAGCUUGUUUACAAAGUCAGUCAGUGUAAAGAAACCUGAAACAGCAAUGGGAAAAAGCCAUUUUGGUGUGGUGCCUGCUGCUUAGAACAGACUGCAGAGAGUGGCAGUGACAGGAAGGAGUGGUCCUGUGGGCCUG